GUACACACUUCCGUAGCACGUAUACUAAAAUUGAAAGAUACAGAGAUUCACAUGGCCCCUGCACAAGGAUGACAUGCAAAUCCAUGAAACAUUCCUUAUUUUC